rnacentral:rRNA from 1 species
ACUAAGCGUACACGGUGGAUGCCUAGGCAGUCAGAGGCGAUGAAGGGCGUGCUAAUCUGCGAAAAGCGUCGGUAAGGUGAUAUGAACCGUUAUAACCGGCGAUACCCGAAUGGGGAAACCCAGUGUGUUUCGACACACUAUCAUGUCAUGAAUACAUAGUGGCAUGAGGCGAACCGGGGGAACUGAAACAUCUAAGUACCCCGAGGAAAAGAAAUCAACCGAGAUUCCCCCAGUAGCGGCGAGCGAACGGGGAGGAGCCCAGAACCUGAAUCGGCUUGUGUGUUAGUGGAAGCGUCUGGAAAGUCGCGCAGCAAAGGGUGAUAGCCCCGUACACUAAAAUGCACAGGUCGUGAGUUCGAUGAGUAGGGCGGGACACGUGACAUCCUGUCUGAAUAUGGGGGGACCAUCCUCCAAGGCUAAAUACUCCUGACUGACCGAUAGUGAACCAGUACCGUGAGGGAAAGGCGAAAAGAACCCCGGCGAGGGGAGUGAAAUAGAACCUGAAACCGUGUACGUACAAGCAGUGGGAGCACCUUCGUGGUGUGACUGCGUACCUUUUGUAUAAUGGGUCAGCGACUUAUAUUUUGUAGCAAGGUUAACCGUAUAGGGGAGCCGUAGGGAAACCGAGUCUUAACUGGGCGAAUAGUUGCAAGGUAUAGACCCGAAACCCGGUGAUCUAGCCAUGGGCAGGUUGAAGGUUGGGUAACACUAACUGGAGGACCGAACCGACUAAUGUUGAAAAAUUAGCGGAUGACUUGUGGCUGGGGGUGAAAGGCCAAUCAAACCGGGAGAUAGCUGGUUCUCCCCGAAAGCUAUUUAGGUAGCGCCUCGUGAACUCAUCUUCGGGGGUAGAGCACUGUUUCGGCUAGGGGGCCAUCCCGGCUUACCAAACCGAUGCAAACUCCGAAUACCGAAGAAUGUUAUCACGGGAGACACACGGCGGGUGCUAACGUCCGUCGUGAAGAGGGAAACAACCCAGACCGCCAGCUAAGGUCCCAAAGUCAUGGUUAAGUGGGAAACGAUGUGGGAAGGCANAGACAGCCAGGAUGUUGGCUUAGAAGCAGCCAUCAUUUAAAGAAAGCGUAAUAGCUCACUGGUCGAGUCGGCCUGCGCGGAAGAUGUAACGGGGCUAAACCAUGCACCGAAGCUGCGGCAGCGACGCUUAGGCGUUGUUGGGUAGGGGAGCGUUCUGUAAGCCGUUGAAGGUGGCCUGUGAGGGUUGCUGGAGGUAUCAGAAGUGCGAAUGCUGACAUAAGUAACGAUAAAGCGGGUGAAAAGCCCGCUCGCCGGAAGACCAAGGGUUCCUGUCCAACGUUAAUCGGGGCAGGGUGAGUCGACCCCUAAGGCGAGGCUGAAAAGCGUAGUCGAUGGGAAACAGGUUAAUAUUCCUGUACUUGGUGUUACUGCGAAGGGGGGACGGAGAAGGCUAGGCUAGCCGGGCGACGGUUGUCCCGGUUUAAGCGUGUAGGGGGUGUGACCUGGUAAAUCCGGUUGCAUAUCAACCCUGAGGCGUGAUGACGAUGCACUACGGUGCAGAAGUAGUUGAUGCCCUGCUUCCAGGAAAAUCCUCUAAGCUCCAGGUAACAUUAAAUCGUACCCCAAACCGACACAGGUGGUCAGGUAGAGAAUACCAAGGCGCUUGAGAGAACUCGGGUGAAGGAACUAGGCAAAAUGGUGCCGUAACUUCGGGAGAAGGCACGCUGGCAUGUAGGUGAAGUCCCUUGCGGAUGGAGCUGAAGCCAGUCGAAGAUACCAGCUGGCUGCAACUGUUUAAUAAAAACACAGCACUGUGCAAACACGAAAGUGGACGUAUACGGUGUGACGCCUGCCCGGUGCUGGAAGGUUAAUUGAUGGGGUCAGCCGCAAGGCGAAGCUCUUGAUCGAAGCCCCAGUAAACGGCGGCCGUAACUAUAACGGUCCUAAGGUAGCGAAAUUCCUUGUCGGGUAAGUUCCGACCUGCACGAAUGGCGUAAUGAUGGCCAGGCUGUCUCCACCCGAGACUCAGUGAAAUUGAACUCGCUGUGAAGAUGCAGUGUACCCGCGGCAAGACGGAAAGACCCCGUGAACCUUUACUAUAGCUUGACACUGAACAUUGAGCCUUGAUGUGUAGGAUAGGUGGGAGGCUUUGAAGCGUGGACGCCAGUCUGCGUGGAGCCAUCCUUGAAAUACCACCCUUUAAUGUUUGAUGUUCUAACUCGGCCCCGUGAUCCGGGGUGAGGACAGUGUCUGGUGGGUAGUUUGACUGGGGCGGUCUCCUCCCAAAGAGUAACGGAGGAGCACGAAGGUUAGCUAAUCACGGUCGGACAUCGUGAGGUUAGUGCAAAGGCAUAAGCUAGCUUGACUGCGAGAGUGACGGCUCGAGCAGGUACGAAAGUAGGUCUUAGUGAUCCGGUGGUUCUGAAUGGAAGGGCCAUCGCUCAACGGAUAAAAGGUACUCCGGGGAUAACAGGCUGAUACCGCCCAAGAGUUCAUAUCGACGGCGGUGUUUGGCACCUCGAUGUCGGCUCAUCACAUCCUGGGGCUGAAGUAGGUCCCAAGGGUAUGGCUGUUCGCCAUUUAAAGUGGUACGCGAGCUGGGUUUAGAACGUCGUGAGACAGUUCGGUCCCUAUCUGCCGUGGGCGUUGGAAGAUUGAGAGGGGUUGCUCCUAGUACGAGAGGACCGGAGUGAACGCACCACUGGUGUUCGGGUUGUCAUGCCAAUGGCAUUGCCCGGUAGCUAAGUGCGGAAAAGAUAAGCGCUGAAAGCAUCUAAGCGCGAAACUUGCCUCAAGAUGAGUCUUCCCUGGGCCUUUAAGGCCCCUGAAGGAACGUUUAAGACUAAGACGUUGAUAGGCUGGGUGUGUAAGUGCAGCGAUGCAUUGAGCUAACCAGUACUAAUGAUCCGUGAGGCUUAACC